UUUUUUUUUUUUUUAGGCAAGGAGAAUGUUUUAUCUUUGUGUCCUGUCCAACAUUCAGCAUAGUUUCUUAUGCACAAAUGAUGCUCAAUAAGUAUUUCUGUGAAUAAUGAGUGGAUAGCAGGGAGCUUGACUUGGGGCUCGAUCUCACAACCCCAAGAUCAUGAUCUGAACCAAAAAUAAGAGUUGGACGCUUAACUGACUGAGCCACCCUGGUGCCCCCCAAAACUUAACACUGUUAUGAGAAAUAUAAUUUAAGGAACCAUCCAAAUGAUAGGGAAUCACAAUCAUAUUUCCCACUGUAUGAAAAUAACUUUUAGUGUGAAAAGGGAAAAUGGUAUAAAGAUCACAAAAAAAGGUAAAACAAGCUUCUUCAGAAAUACUGAUUCCUAUACACAAUAUAUACACAAGUUAUAGGAUGUUACAGUAAAAAUUCUGUAAUUCUGUUUCUCUACACUUUUUAAUGUGAAUUUAUGUUUACCAAAAUAUCCUUAAAAAGUGAUUAUUUGGAAAAACUUUUGAGUUAUUAUUCUUUAGAGAAAGAACAUGUUGUAUUUUGAGGCCAAGUGAAGGACAUGAGCACAGGCAAUUUAAUAUAACAGAGAGUUUGUCUCUUAUAACACCUAACAUUGCUACCAAAAAUAAAAUGAUUCCAAAGUAUUAGCAGAAUAUACUAGGAACAUAGAGAUCGAAAUAACAUCCAAUAGACAUUUACAGCAACACUUUUUUUUUUCAUAUCAUGAUUGUCUUUUUUUUCCUACCAAUUAUUGGGCUAAUUCAAGAGUACUUUGAAAGGGUUUUGAUGAUAUUGCAGCAUUUUUUGAACAGUGUUACUCAAAGAUCUAAAGGUAAAGUGUUCUCUACCGUUUGCCUCCAAAAUCAGGUGAAUAUUAUUUUGACAGACACUAAGUAAAAAAGAAAAACUCAGUUUUCCACCUUCUGUAUCUUUCUCUCCUAUAUGUUUCCCUUACUUUCAUGCCACUAUCACACUCACACAGCACAGUUCCCUUCUGAAGUGUGGGUUUUCCCCACAACAACAAGUAAGUCUCAGACAGCAGCUGGAUAUCCUACAAUUAAACUCAGUUCUGACACUCUGUACCCAGAGAUUAGCAUCAGAUCUCAUAGGGAAAGGGCUCAGUCCCAAAGACUGACCCCUCAGAUUUAGAAGCCAGUCACAAGUCCAGGUUGUCCCCUGUGCUUCUGACCAACCAGUUAAAUAGAUAGGAGGUUCCAAUGACUCUUUCCUCAGGUUCAAACUUAUUUGCUAGAGUGGCUUACAUAACUCAAGAAAACACUUGCGUAUGUUUACCAGUUGAUUAAAGGACACCAUAAAGGUUAUAGAUGAACAGCCAGACAAAAUAUACAUGAUGGGGCAGGUGGGGGGAGAUUCUGGAAGGGUCCCAAGCACAGAAGCUCCUCCUGUUCCCAUGGAGUUGGGGUAUGUCACCCUAACUGGAAGCUCUCCAAACAUUCUACUUUUGGGAUUUUAAGGAGGCCCCAUCAUGUAGGCAUGAUUGAUCAUUAACUCCAUUUUCAGUUCUCUCCCAUCUCAAGACAAUGGGAGUUAGGGCUGAAAAUACCAAGUUCCUAAUCUUGGCUUGGACCUUCCGGUGACCAGCUCCUAUCCAGGAACCAUCCAGAAGCUCACCAAGAGUUGCCACAAAAGAACAAAAGACACUCCUGUCAUGUAGAAAAUUACAAGGCUUCCGGAGUUCCAGGGCAGAGACCAAGACAUUUAUUUUCUAUUAACUCAUACCAAGGAAAAGAUUUAUUAAGAGGAAUCAUCCUGUGAUGUUGAAAAAUAUAACAAUGCAAUUUAAAAGCAUUCCAAAUAAUAAAUACUUCUGUUCUUUCAACAAGAGGCACAGUUUUAUCAUAAUUUGCUUGUCUGACAUAAAUUGGUCAUAGUCUAGGUCAAUCUUUGAUUUCAUUCCUCAUGCUCUUUGGUAAAUUAGACAGUGAUGGCUCUUUGAUAGUGAAAAUUCAUGUCUCUCCCUCAGGAAGGAGCGGAGGGCAUGAAUAUUGAUUGUCACAUACGUCUAUGUAAUCAGCUGCUAGGAGAAGGAUAAAUGAACUGUGUCUUGAGCUCCAGUCAUGGUGCAUCUGUAAACCUUCUCUACAAAUGGAUGAUGCAGGGAUGGUGAGACUUCCAGGAGUCUUACUGGUCUCUUUACUCUGACUUCUAUAAAAUUAUGGACCUGGGAGACACUGGGACCUGAGAUUGAACAACUUGGUCUCCAAAAGUGAUUAGUGAAUUCUGACAUAUUUGUGGCAAUUUCUUGAUAUAAAUGACAAAGGGGAUGGAUUAACUACCAGGCAUUAAAUUUUGAGAGAAGCCACAUUUUUUGUUUGUUUGUUUGUUUCACCUUAUAGACAUAAUGUUAAGGGCAGCCCAGGUAGCUCAGUGGUUUAGUGCAGCCUUCAGCCUAGGACCUGAUCCUGGAAACCUGGGAUCAAGCCCCAUGUCAGGCUCCCUGCAUGGAGCCUGCUUCUCCCUCUGCCUGUGGCCUGUGUCUCCAUCUCUCCCUCUCUCUCUCUUCUCUCUCUCUCUCUCUCUUUCUUUCUCUGUCUCUCAUGAAUAAGUAAAUAAAUAAAAUCUUUAAAAAACAUUUUUCUUUUGGUAUAUUCAUAUGGAGAUAGUAUAUAUUAGCAAAGUACAGAUGAAAUUUUCUUUAAAUCACAGUUUUAGUAAUAUAAUUUCUAAUGAAAUACUAAUCAACAUUAGGUAGGGACAGAACCAUUUUUGCAAAUACUGGUCGAGUCUCUACUACAAAUAUUUAAUCAAAUAGACCUUUUAGAGAGGUAAACUAGAUACCAUGCUUUAAACUGGGUAAGUGUAAUUUCCCAAUUAGUGUAGUCUUUCUUUUGCUUAAUCUUGAUAAACAUAACAAACAACAUCUAUAUACAAACAGGAGAAUUUUUGAAAUUUAAAAUUAAUAAUGAAGAAUAUAAAUAACAUUAAACUCAGUUUUUGAUUCAUCUGGUUUUCAGUCAGGAGAAAGGAAACAUAAGACAUUCCAUUUCAAGGUAGAAGUGUUUUCUGGGGUUUUUCCUUCUUAAUAUAAGCUCUCUGACCUAUAUUUUUGGAUGUGAAGGAAGUGGCGUAUAUAACAACUGCAGUCUUUGUAAUCUUCAUUUCUUUCUAAUGGAAAGGCCCAGAUUGCAUCCAAUAAAAGCUUUCUUUCUAGCCAGAAUUUGGUCAGAUUUUGGUGAACAGGAUUUUCCCAAAGUGAGACCAGUAGUACUCAAGUUACGGUAAUUUAUUAGAAUUUGAUCCUAUAAGACACACAAAAUGAUUUUCCAGAGCUACAUUUAUUUCCAUCAUCUCUUUCUUUGCCAGCUAUGAAUCAUUUAAAUUUUCAAAGCAUAAAUAGAGUUCUCCCUAGAAAAUAAUUGGAUGACCAAAUAGAAGGGUCGUGUAUUUUUGGAACCAUUAUGACAUGGCUCUGGAAGAAAUCAACUUUCUGAAGCCUUAUUCUGGGCAGCCAAAAUGGUACUUAUUGAAAGAAUAAAGCAUCUUAUUUACAUAAUACAGAAAUACAUUCAUUCUGUAAAAGGAACUGGUAGAAAUGUAGAUGGUAAAAUUAUCUACUUUUCAGUGACAUUCAACAUUCCAACUUUCUUUUUCUUAAAGUACAAACUUUUCACUCUGAAUUAGGAGAAUUGCAAGCAGUUUAAACUAUUUUUUUUCCAAAUCCAAGAAUAAAAAAAUAAAUAAUAUUCAUCAGAUUUAAGAUUUCAUGAAACUUGCAGUGAUUUCAUUAAAAAGGCCAGAUGCUGUUUGCUUCUUUGUUCAUUUGCUUGUUGAUGGGCAUUUGACUUGUUCUCACUCUUCUGGCUAUUAUGAAUAAUCUUGCCAUGAAUAUUGGAUUGUGGGUAAUGGUUGUAUAGCUCUGUUUUUAUUAAUAAUUCUUAAACAAGCAUGAGAGAUUGCAGCAAAGAAUUACUUUUAUACACGUCUCUCUGUUAUUAUUUCAUUGGAAUUAAAUGAAUAUGGGGCUGGUAGAUGAGUUAUUCAUGCAAUGUAGGAAAGAAAUGUCACUUUACAUCCUGGACCCCUGCAGAGUUCUACAGAUUUCACCAAAAUAUUUUGUAGAUUUCUAUUUUUUUAACUUAAAAAUAUGGAAGACCUGAACGAAAUGGAUAGGUCUCCUUCAAGAGUCAAAAAAAAAAAAAAAA
rnacentral:lncRNA from 1 species